rnacentral:lncRNA from 1 species
GUGGAUUGAGAUAUCUAUUUAUAUCUCUAUAUUAAUUUUGGCUAAAUUACAUAAAACACCCCUGUCAAAACCAGAUUUUUCACUUUCCCCCCUUGUCAUUUAAAAACCUACACUUUGCUCCCUUGUAAAAUAAAAAAUGUUCACAAGGGGGGUACGGUGUAUAAAAUGACCAUUUUGCCUCUCACCAUUUUCGUCUCCUCCCUUAUCUUCCUCAACCGCCGCCUCGAUCGGCCGCGAUUCACACCUCGAUUGGCUGCGAUUUCUCUCCAUUUUCUUCUCCACCUACUCCCCUUCUUCUCCUGCACCCUCGCCGCCCCUCAAUUUCGGCGACAAUAGGGAGGAAAUCGAGGUGGGCGCUGAUGGAGAGGUAGGCAAGGGCAACGAGGGCGAAGGCGAGGCGGCGGAGAAGGGCGAAAGGGAUGUAGGCGAGGGCUAGGACGAGGGCGAGGCCGAGGCAGUGGAGGAGGGCGAGGCGGCGGCGAAGCGGCGAGCCAGAGGGAGGCGAAGCAACAGGGAAGAGGGCGGAAGGGUAUUUUUGGUAUAAAAAAAUAUUUUAUAAUGGAAUCCUAACGGAUCACUAACGGUAGGGACUGAAGUGCACAUUUUUAUUUUACAAGGGACAAAGUGUAGGUUUUUAAAUGACAAGAGAGAAAAGUGAAAAAUCGAAUUUUGAUAGGGGGUUUUCUGUAAUUCAGCCUAAAUAUUUAAUAAAAAUUGUUGCGUGAUAUUUUUUUCUUUACUUU